rnacentral:tRNA from 1 species
CAGCAAAUAGUUUAUUUAGAAUGUUAAUUUUGGGGAUUAAUGGAGAGGAUAUUAUAUUUUCUUUGCUGA